AGCAAAAGUGGCCGAAUCUAGGCAAAAGACUGUAAAUCUUUUAAUGGCUAAAGCCCAUUGCAA
rnacentral:tRNA from 1 species